rnacentral:rRNA from 1 species
AUGAACGCUGGCGGCGUGCCUAAUACAUGCAAGUCGAGCGAACAGACGAGGAGCUUGCUCCUCUGACGUUAGCGGCGGACGGGUGAGUAACACGUGGAUAACCUACCUAUAAGACUGGGAUAACUUCGGGAAACCGGAGCUAAUACCGGAUAAUAUAUUGAACCGCAUGGUUCAAUAGUGAAAGACGGUUUUGCUGUCACUUAUAGAUGGAUCCGCGCCGCAUUAGCUAGUUGGUAAGGUAACGGCUUACCAAGGCAACGAUGCGUAGCCGACCUGAGAGGGUGAUCGGCCACACUGGAACUGAGACACGGUCCAGACUCCUACGGGAGGCAGCAGUAGGGAAUCUUCCGCAAUGGGCGAAAGCCUGACGGAGCAACGCCGCGUGAGUGAUGAAGGUCUUCGGAUCGUAAAACUCUGUUAUUAGGGAAGAACAAAUGUGUAAGUAACUAUGCACGUCUUGACGGUACCAAUCAGAAAGCCACGGCUAACUACGUG